GGGACAUGCCAGAGUUUUCAGCAAAAGAUAUAUGGAAAUAAAGUGUUUGGCAUAUUUAGUGGAUGUCCUAGAGGCAAGGCAGCCACUAUUGUUCUUUAUGGAGAUGACCAGUUUAUUAAAAAAGAAGAAAUGUAUGAAGCUGAGCUGUAUGUACGUGAUCUGAUCCCGGAAGUGAGGAGUGUCAUGAAAGCACGCAAAUUAGUUGAUGGUGGUCGUAAUUUAUAUUACAAUUUUUUAUCUAGUAUGUACGCGAAGAGGCAAACUAUGCAGAGACUAACUCAAAACAAAUUAUAAAUGCAUUUGCUAAUGCAAUUCAGGCUGUAUCAGACUCAACAUGUGAUAAUGAUGGAUGUAACCCAAGUCAGGAAAAUCCAACUGGUGUGUCUCAUGCACUACUACUAGUCUAUUUUUUUAGUUUAGUUAAUAUUUAUAAUGAGAAACCACAACUUAAA